CGGACGGGUGAGUAAUGUCUGGGAAACUGCCCGAUGGAGGGGGAUAACUACUGGAAACGGUAGCUAAUACCGCAUAACGUCGCAAGACCAAAGAGGGGACCUUCGGGCCUCUUGCCAUCGGAUGUGCCCAGAUGGGACUAGCUAGUAGGUGGGGUAACGGCUCACCUAGGCGACGAUCCCUAGCUGGUCUGAGAGGAUGACCAGCCACACUGGAACUGAGACACGGUCCAG
rnacentral:rRNA from 1 species